AAGUGCACUAAGAGCCUCCUGCAGCAACCUUCCUUCUUGUAUACUCUGUAUUUGCCACCGCAGCGUACACCCGUGUAUUAGGUAGUUGUGCUGGCUAUUUUUCUUUUUGUUUUUACAAGCACGUACUUCUCCAGUUCCUCCUAAUAAACAUCAGGCCAAAAACACAUGGCAGGGAAUUCAUCGGAGACCUGGGAGAGUCGCACUUACCUAAUCGAGUCUGAUUUAAAAAGUGUUAAGUGCAGGAGAUGAUGUCCUAUACAAAUCCAUCCCUCGGCCAAAGGGGUUAAAUCACUGGAACUAAUUGGAAAACCUUCCCCCUUUUUCCCUGGGGAAAACCCAAAAGAUUCAUCUUCUAAUACAAUUAAAGAAGCUAAUCUGUCAGAUACAAUCAGCAGCCCGGACCUGUCCUACACAACACACAGGUGUCUGUAGAGAAAACUGAAGGCAACAAAAGGGAUAAAAACUUCAUUCAACAAAAUCAACAAGGAAACCUGAGAAAACAUAUUAAAGUAGCUGACCAAAGAAAGACACAAUCCCAUUAGACAAUGUUUAAAA